AGUGGCGGACGGGUGAGUAACGCGUGAGAAUCUGCCUUGGGGUCGGGGACAACCACUGGAAACGGUGGCUAAUACCGGAUAAGCCGAUUGGUGAAAGAUUUAUUGCCCGAAGAGGAGCUCGCGUCUGAUUAGCUAGUUGGUGAGGUAAGAGCUCACCAAGGCAGCGAUCAGUAGCUGGUCUGAGAGGACGAUCAGCCACACUGGGACUGAGACACGGCCCAGACUCCUACGGGAGGCAGCAGUGGGGAAUUUUCCGCAAUGGGCGAAAGCCUGACGGAGCAAGACCGCGUGAGGGAGGAAGGCUCUUGGGUUGUAAACCUCUUUUCUCAGGGAAGAAGCUCUGACGGUACCUGAGGAAUCAGCCUCGGCUAACUCCGUGCCAGCAGCCGCGGUAAUACGGAGGAGGCAAGCGUUAUCCGGAAUUAUUGGGCGUAAAGCGUCCGCAGGUGGCGAUUCAAGUCUGCUGUCAAAGCACGGGGCUUAACUCCGUAAAGGCAGUGGAAACUGAAUAGCUAGAGUGCCGUAGGGGUAGAGGGAAUUCCCGGUGUAGCGGUGAAAUGCGUACAGAUCGGGAAGAACAUCGGUGGCGAAAGCGCUCUACUGGACGGCAACUGACACUCAGGGACGAAAGCUAGGGGAGCGAAUGGGAUUAGAUACCCC
rnacentral:rRNA from 1 species